rnacentral:rRNA from 1 species
UGGGGAAUAUUGCACAAUGGGGGAAACCCUGAUGCAGCGACGCCGAGUGAGCGAAGAAGUAUUUCGGUAUGUAAAGCUCUAUCAGCAGGGAAGAAAUUGACGGUACCUGAGUAAGAAGCUCCGGCUAAAUACGUGCC